CCGAGUUUACAACUCCCAAACCCAAAUGUGAACAUACCUUCCGUUGCUUCGGCGGACCCGCCCCGGCGUCCGGACCGGCCCUUGCGCCGUCCGCGGCCCGGACUCAGGCGGCCGCCGGAGACCCCCCAAACUCUCUGUAUCAGCAGUAUCUUCUGAGUGAGCCGCAAGGCGAAACAAAUGAAUCA
rnacentral:misc_RNA from 1 species